GAAAAUCAAAAAUAUUGAAUUUUUUGAAUAGUUCUACACGCAGACCGAAAAAUCAACUCCCAUAUGUAUAUCAACAAAAUACUAAUCUCUCAGAGUUAGAAGUUGAUGAAUUUAGAAUGCUCAACAGCUCGAGUAUUCAAUGGUCUCUUUUCUCGCAAAAUUUAGGAUACCUAUGAAAAAACCACGUAGUAACGAACAGGUAGAUGGAACAAGAUCCUGAAUGUGUUGCAAGG
rnacentral:lncRNA from 1 species